UACGAAGGGUGCAAGCGUUACUCGGAAUUACUGGGCGUAAAGCGUGCGUAGGUGGUUCGUUAAGUCUGAUGUGAAAGCCCUGGGCUCAACCUGGGAAUGGCAUUGGAUACUGGCGAUCUAGAGUGCGGUAGAGGGGUGUGGAAUUCCCGGUGUAGCAGUGAAAUGCGUAGAUAUCGGGAGGAACACCCGUGGCGAAAGCGGCUCUCUGGGACGGUACUGACGCUGAGACGCGAAAGCGUGGGGAGCAAACAGG
rnacentral:rRNA from 1 species